AUCCUUCAAAAGUUUAAUAUAGUGAGAAGCCGCUGAUCAGAAGAUGGGUCAGGAUUACUACACUGUCCUGGGGAUUAUUAGGAACGCAACGAACGCUGAUAUUAAGAAAGCGUACCGUAAAUUGGCCCUAAAAUACCACCCAGACAAAAGUACGGAUCCAUGUGCAGAGGAAAAGUUCUUACAAAUUGCAGAAGCGUAUGAUGUUCUAAGUGAUUUAAAAAAGAAAGCGACCUAUGAUAAAUUUGGUGAGGAGGGAUUGAAAGGAGGAAUUCCCAUUGAAUUCAGUGAAACUGGUGCUUGGACAACUGGAUAUACCUUUCAUGGAAAUGCCAACAAAAUUUUCAGGGACUUCUUCGGUGGAGAUAAUCCGUUUGCAGAUUUUUUUGAUUCAGAUGGAGACAUAAGUUUGGGAUUUGGAGGGCUACAAGGCCGAGGAGUUAAGAAACAAGAUCCCCCUAUUGAAAAGGAUCUAUAUUUGUCUUUAGAAGAUCUAUAUCAUGGAUGCAUGAAGAAGAUCAAAAUCUCACGCAGGGUUAUGAAUGAAGAUGGUCACACUUCAAGCAUUAAGGAUAAAAUCCUGACUAUUCAGGUUAAACAAGGCUGGAAACCAGGAACUAAAAUCAGAUUCCCAAAUGAAGGAGACCAGGGUCCAAAUAACAUUCCAUCAGACAUUAUAUUUACUGUGAAAGAGAAACCGCAUCAUUGGUUCUGUCGACAAGAAAAUGAUCUAAUUUUCUGUGCUCCAAUUUCCUUGGCAAAGGCACUAACAGGUCACACCAUUGAAAUUGAGACACUUGAUGGCAGAUUUCUCAGCAUUCCAAUCAAUGAUAUUGUCCAUAGACAGCCCACACUGGGGCAUAAAGGGUGGAGAGAUACACAACAUCUGACUUCUCAGCCCCUAUGAGAAGAGAAUCCUGGCCCUCAAAGGAGAUGACUCGUACUGCUUUUUGGGGUAAUGUUGAGACAUCCAAGUCCCAAGUACCAGGGAUGUCCGCAAUCUCGGUGGAGAAAUAGCCUGCUGCAACAGAAAUCAUUUCCUCAGCAUCUGAGAACCAGAAUACUGUGGCCUCAGAGGAGGUGUUGAGAAGGCUGCCUCCUACAUCUCUCCACCAGCUCAGAUACUGACACCUCUGAGGGAACAUCAGCCAUAGAAAGUUUGGGAGCACAAGCUGGUGAGCACUUGACUGAGCAGCCCCACAGCUGGCCAAGGAAGAAACACCCCAAGCUGCUAUGCUUAGAGAACUGCCAUUCACCAUGCACUGCUCAACCCCAGGCAGGAGAGAGCCCUGUAGUAUCAGCAAUCGGGGACUUCAUCCACAAGCACAGAGCAUGUCAGCACAUGUCCACCUUCUUGAAUCCCAGCCGUGCCUAUCCACUUGCCUCCCUUUCUGCUCUAAACAGCAAUUCAGCCAGAGAAGCUGACAGCCUGUAAGCUAUGGCUGAAGAUUCUACCUGCUAAAAAGCAAUGCAAGCACCAGAUGCUGACAGCCUGUAAAUUAGGAGUGAAUUGCUUGUAUGCUGAAAAGCAAUGGAAGCCAUAACGGUGUCACAGCCUCAAAGUCAGUGCAGUGAUUGAGCACUAUGGAAGCAAACUAAGAGGCAUCCUCUUUGAAUGCAUAAGGUACAUAUGUGUCCAUGCACACAAAAUGAUCUAGCAAAACCAUGCAAGUCAUAAAUGUCUAUGAGCUUUGAAGUCAAGUCCUGAAGGACUGAGAUGAAGUGAGAGUUGUUCUGAAAACAGUCAUGAUGUUAUGGUGAGGCUAGUGGUUUGUUAAUGAUGUGUUGCAUGGAGGAAGGACGGAAGAGUAGUGUGACCAUGAAGCAUACUAGGAAGUUGUAAUGACAAUGCAGUUGGAUGAAGUCGCGGAGAAGCUGUGAUGCCAGGUAACCACCCUGGCAUUCCUGUCCAGAAUUAGCACAUUCCUUCCUGCCCAGGUAAAAACUACAUAAACUGGGCUCACCUUUUAAAAAUAAAGCAUUGCCCAUUUAAAACAGAGAUAUGACAUUUUUCCUUAUAAAGGGUCAUGAGUCUUUGGAAUGCUCUUCCUCCAAAAACAGCGGAAGUAGAAUCUUUGAAUAUUUUUAAGGCAGAGGUUAAUGGAUUCUAAUUAGCAAGGGUGUGAAAGGAUAUUGGUGAUAAACAGGAAUGUGAAGUAAUCAGGGCCAAGUGGCCUACUGCUCCUUAUUUCAUAUGUUUGUAUCUGUUCUUCUAAUGAUGUUGGCUGUGAGAUAAAUAUUUGAGACAACACCAAGGGCAGAAAAAAGACAAUUUCAAAAAAUAGUUUGAGUUUCUGGUUUUCAAAGAAUGAGCAACAAAAGUUCCACAUCUAAUA